GACGAACGCUGGCGGCGUGCUUAACACCUGCAAGUCGAACGGAAAGGCCCUGCUUUUGUGGGGUGCUCGAGUGGCGAACGGGUGAGUAACACGUGAGUAACCUGCCCUUGACUUUGGGAUAACUUCAGGAAACUGGGGCUAAUACCGGAUAGGAGCUCCUGCUGCAUGGUGGGGGUUGGAAAGUUUCGGCGGUUGGGGAUGGACUCGCGGCUUAUCAGCUUGUUGGUGGGGUAGUGGCUUACCAAGGCUUUGACGGGUAGCCGGCCUGAGAGGGUGACCGGCCACAUUGGGACUGAGAUACGGCCCAGACUCCUACGGGAGGCAGCAGUGGGGAAUAUUGCACGAUGGGCGGAAGCCUGAUGCAGCAACGCCGCGUGCGGGAUGACGGCCUUCGGGUUGUAAACCGCUUUCGCCUGUGACGAAGCGUGAGUGACGGUAAUGGGUAAAGAAGCACCGGCUAACUACGUG
rnacentral:rRNA from 1 species